CAAAUUUAAAAGUACAUCUUUUCAAAAAAAGAAUUGUAGAACAGUCAAACCAUCCAUUGAAAAUAACUUUCUUUUUGUUUUGCCGGUGACUGUCAUUUUCCAAUUCCCUAUCGUAGGUUGCAGAAAACAAAAACUGUUUAUUGUGCGCCAGCCUGACCUGGAAAUUUGAUCGUUUGCACCUUCUCCAAAUAAAUACUAUUAGAUAUACAGGUAAGCACAGAAUCUACGAUUACCGAUCAACAGAUUUCAAAAUGGUCCUCCGCGUAUGCAUCUCGUGGCGAAAGAACGCGGCUCCUUGUUGGAGGCUGGGUUUCAUGGUAGCGCACCCGAAAAUAUCCCAGCCCAUCAGAUAGAAUCGAAAGAUAUUUAACAUGGCAUUCCACGAUGGAUACGAUGCGCGUCCCAGUUUUUGGAGCUUCACAGUUACUGCUGCUUUCAUUUUUGUAGUUGUAAUUCAAAUUGAAAACUUUUGAAAUAAUGAUAAUCCACAUAUUAUGAUAAACGUAUACGAAUAAAAUAUAUUCAUAAAGACAACAUAAA